GAUGAACGCUGGCGGCGUGCCUAAUACAUGCAAGUCGAGCGAAUGGAUUAAGAGCUUGCUCUUAUGAAGUUAGCGGCGGACGGGUGAGUAACACGUGGGUAACCUGCCCAUAAGACUGGGAUAACUCCGGGAAACCGGGGCUAAUACCGGAUAACAUUUUGAACCGCAUGGUUCGAAAUUGAAAGGCGGCUUCGGCUGUCACUUAUGGAUGGACCCGCGUCGCAUUAGCUAGUUGGUGAGGUAACGGCUCACCAAGGCAACGAUGCGUAGCCGACCUGAGAGGGUGAUCGGCCACACGGGGACUGAGAAACGGCCCAGACUCCUACGGGAGGCAGCAGUAGGGAAUCUUCCGCAAUGGACGAAAGUCUGACGGAGCAACGCCGCGUGAGUGAUAAAGGCUUUCGGGUCGUAAAACUCUGUUGUUAGGGAAGAACAAGUGCUAGUUGAAUAAGCUGGCACCUUGACGGUACCUAACCAGAAAGCCACGGCUAACUACGUGCCAGCCGCCGCGGUAA
rnacentral:rRNA from 1 species